rnacentral:rRNA from 1 species
UGGGGAAUCUUGGACAAUGGGGGCAACCCUGAUCCAGCGAUGCCGCGUGAGUGAAGAAGGCCCUCGGGUCGUAAAGCUCUUUAGGCUGGGAAGAAGGUUGUGGAGGAAAUGCCAUUAACUUGACGGUACCAGCAGAAUAAGCACCGGCAAACUCUGUGCCAGCAGCCGCGGUAAUACAGAGGGUGCGAGCGUUAAUCGGAGUUACUGGGCGUAAAGGGUGCGUAGGCGGUUUAGCGAGUGUGAUGUGAAAGCCCCGGGCUUAACCUGGGAAGUGCAUCGCAAACGGCUAGACUAGAGUAGAUGAGAGGGUGAUGGAAUUUCCGGUGUAGCGGUGAAAUGCGUAGAGAUCGGAAGGAACGUCGAUGGCGAAGGCAGUCACCUGGCAUCAUACUGACGCUGAGGCACGAAAGCGUGGGGAGCAAACA